rnacentral:tRNA from 1 species
GGUGUGGGUAAUUUAAAAAAAAUAUCAAGUUGUGACCCUGAAAAUAGANCCCCCUCGCAC